AUUGAACGCUGGCGGCAGGCCUAACACAUGCAAGUCGAGCGGAUAAAGGGAGCUUGCUCCUGAAUUCAGCGGCGGACGGGUGAGUAAUGCCUAGGAAUCUGCCUGGUAGUGGGGGAUAACGUCCGGAAACGGGCGCUAAUACCGCAUACGUCCUGAGGGAGAAAGUGGGGGAGCUUCGGACCUCACGCUAUCAGAUGAGCCUAGGUCGGAUUAGCUAGUUGGUGGGGUAAAGGCCUACCAAGGCGACGAUCCGUAACUGGUCUGAGAGGAUGAUCAGUCACACUGGAACUGAGACACGGUCCAGACUCCUACGGGAGGCAGCAGUGGGGAAUAUUGGACAAUGGGCGAAAGCCUGAUCCAGCAAUGCCGCGUGUGUGAAGAAGGUCUUCGGAUUGUAAAGCACUUUAAGUUGGGAGGAAGGGCAGUAAGUUAAUACCUUGCUGUUUUGACGUUACCAACAGAAUAAGCACCGGCUAACUUCGUG
rnacentral:rRNA from 1 species